rnacentral:sRNA from 1 species
AGCAGCCGCGGUAAUUCCAGCUCCAAUAGCGUAUAUUAAAGUUGUUGCAGUUAAAAAGCUCGUAGUUGAAUUUCGAGAUCAAAUUGUUGGUCGUGCCUCGGUACGUACUGGCGUUAUUGAUUUCUCCCUUCUGACGAUCCGCGAUGUCAUUAAUUUGGUGUCGCGGGGAAUCAGGACUGUUACUUUGAAAAAUUAGAGUGUUUAAAGCAGGCUCACGCUUGAAUACAUUAGCAUGGAAUAAUGAAAUAGGACGUUUGAUUCUAUUUUGUUGGUUUCUAGGAUCGACGUAAUGAUUAAUAGGGAUAGUUGGGGGCAUUAGUAUUCAAUUGUCAGAGGUGAAAUUCUUGGAUUUUAUUGAAGACUAACUACUGCGAAAGCAUUUGCCAAGGAUGUUUUCAUUAAUCAAGAACGAAAGUUAGGGGAUCGAAGACGAUCAGAUACCGUCGUAGUCUUAACCAUAAACUGUGCCGACUAGGGAUCGGAUGAUGUUGAUUUUU